ACAAUUUAUCUUUUUUUUUAUUUUUUUUAUUUUUUUAUUUUAUACAUGUUUCUAUAAAUAUAGUGAAUUGAAAAUAUAUCCAUAUAAAAUUCAACUUUAGUUUAUUGCUUCUGUAAAAAUUCUAAUAUUUUUAAAUAUAUCCCUGCCGUUAUAAUUCGUUAGAAAAUUUUAGUUAAACCAUAGGUUAAAUACUUAACUCUGAAUAAUUUAUAAAAUAACUUAAUAUUUUUGUCCCUCUUAUAUUAUACUGUUGUGAUUUUUUGAGAAAAAUAUUUGUAAUGGCAAAAUUGAUAUUUCACUUAAAACAUAAACAGUUGUAUAACAAUAACAAAUCAAAAGGACAUAUUUGAAACUAUUAAAACUUUUAUACGAACAAUAUAUAAAAAUUGAACUUUGUAGGGAUAUAUUUGUAAUUUACUAUAUUUGCAGGGACUUGUGUGCAUUUAAUAUUAUUAUAAAAAUUAGGU
rnacentral:lncRNA from 1 species